rnacentral:rRNA from 1 species
UACAGAGGGGGCAAGCGUUAUUCGGAAUUAUUGGGCGUAAAGGGCGCGUAGGCGGCUUUUCAAGUGAGGGGUGAAAUCCCUCGGCUUAACCGAGGAACUGCCUGUCAGACUGGAAGGCUUGAGUCCGGGAGAGGUGAGUGGAAUUCCCAGUGUAGCGGUGAAAUGCGUAGAUAUUGGGAGGAACACCAGUGGCGAAGGCGGCUCACUGGACCGGAACUGACGCUGAGGCGCGAAAGCGUGGGGAGCAAACAGG